rnacentral:rRNA from 1 species
GACGAACGCUGGCGGCGUGCUUAACACAUGCAAGUCGAACGCUGAAGCUCAGCUUGCUGGGUGGAUGAGUGGCGAACGGGUGAGUAACACGUGAGUAACCUGCCCUCUUCUUUGGGAUAACGCCCGGAAACGGGUGCUAAUACUGGAUAUUCACUGAUUCUCGCAUGGGGGUUGGUGGAAAGGUUUUUUCUGGUGGGGGAUGGGCUCGCGGCCUAUCAGCUUGUUGGUGGGGUGAUGGCCUACCAAGGCUUUGACGGGUGGCCGGCCUGAGAGGGUGACCGGUCACAUUGGGACUGAGAUACGGCCCAGACUCCUACGGGAGGCAGCAGUGGGGAAUAUUGCACAAUGGGCGAAAGCCUGAUGCAGCGACGCCGCGUGAGGGAUGGAGGCCUUCGGGUUGUAAACCUCUUUCGCUCAUGGUCAAGCCGCAGCUUUGGGUUGUGGUGAGGGUAGUGGGUAAAGAAGCGCCGGCUAACUACGUG